rnacentral:rRNA from 1 species
GGGAUUGCCCUAGUAACGGCGAGUGAAGCGGCAACAGCUCAAAUUUGAAAUCUGGAUUCCUUGACUGGGUCCCGAGUUGUAAUUUGCAGAGGGUGCUUUGGCGUGGGCGGCGGUCUAAGUUCCUUGGAACAGGACGUCACAGAGGGUGAGAAUCCCGUACGUGGCUGCACUGCCCGCGCCGUGUAAAGCCCCUUCGACGAGUCGAGUUGUUUGGGAAUGCAGCUCUAAAUGGGAGGUAAAUUUCUUCUAAAGCUAAAUACUGGCCAGAGACCGAUAGCGCACAAGUAGAGUGAUCGAAAGAUGAAAAGCACUUUGGAAAGAGAGUCAAACAGCACGUGAAAUUGUUGAAAGGGAAGCGCUUGCAGCCAGACUUGCCUGCGGUUGCUCAGCCGGGCCUCGUGCCCGGUGCACUCUUCCGCGGGCAGGCCAGCAUCAAUUUGGGCGGCUGGAGAAUGGCCUCUGUCACGUACUACCCUUCGGGGUAGCCUUAUAGGGGAGUCGUCAUGCAGUCAGCCUGGAUUGAGGACCGCGCUUCGGCGAGGAUGCUGGCGUAAUGGCCGCAAGCGGCCCGUCUUGAAACACGGACCAAGGAGUCUAACAUCUAUGCGAGUGUUUGGGUGUCAAGCCCGGGCGCGCAAUGAAAGUGAACGGAGGUGGGAACCCCCUUGGGGCGCACCAUCGACCGAUCCUGAUGUCUUCGGAUGGAUUUGAGUAAGAGCAUAGCUGUUGGGACCCGAAAGAUGGUGAACUAUGCUUGAAUAGGGUGAAGCCAGAGGAAACUCUGGUGGAAGCUCGCAGCGGUUCUGACGUGCAAAUCGAUCGUCAAAUUUGGGCAUAGGGGCGAAAGACUAAUCGAACUAUCUAGUAGCUGGUUCCUGCCGAAGUUUCCCUCAGGAUAGCAGUAACGUAUUCAGUUUUAUGAGGUAAAGCGAAUGAUUAGAGGCCUGGGGGUUGAAACAACCUUCACCUAUUCUCAAACUUUAAA